rnacentral:rRNA from 1 species
UACGAACUGUGCGAACGUUGUUCGGAAUCACUGGGCUUACAGGGUGCGUAGGCGGCUUGUUAAGUAGGGUGUGAAAGCCCCCGGCUCAACCGGGGAAUUGCGCCCUAAACUGGCGAGCUGGAGUGAGAUAGGGGUGUGUGGAACUUCCGGUGGAGCGGUGAAAUGUGUUGAUAUCGGAAGGAACGCCGGUGGCGAAAGCGACACACUGGAUCUUGUCUGACGCUGAGGCACGAAAGCCAGGGGAGCGAACGGG